rnacentral:rRNA from 1 species
UACGUAGGGUCGCAAGCGUUAAUCGGAAUUACUGGGCGUAAAGCGUGCGCAGGCGGUUUUGUAAGUCAGAUGUGAAAUCCCCGGGCUUAACCUGGGACUGCGUUUGAAACUACAAGGCUAGAGUGUGGCAGAGGGGGGUGGAAUUCCACGUGUAGCAGUGAAAUGCGUAGAGAUGUGGAGGAACACCGAUGGCGAAGGCAGCCCCCUGGGUUAACACUGACGCUCAGGCACGAAAGCGUGGGGAGCAAACAGG